AAUUGCUCCACCUCUGGUGCCAGUUAGUGGAAGGGUAGAAAGAUGGGAAAAAACAGGUCUGGGUUUGGAUGCACUCUUUCGCAGCAUGAGCUCCACCGAAUGGAGAGGAAGUCUCCCUUCCCUUAGAGUUUUGGCUCCUGCAGUCUCCUGUUGGUAGCCACUGUAACAGCUGCCACCAUUACUGUGGGAUAUUUUGGAGUCUGAGGCAUAAGAGAAUGGACAAAAAGGAGAGGAAAAGACCCAGAGGAUUCCUGCAUUCUCUCUAAGCUUUGGGAGUUCCUCUUCCUGCAGUUUCAGCCACAACUAGAAGAAAUCUCCUUUACAGACAAUAGGUGAAGAACAAACCCAGAAUCCCUACACUGAACUGCUAGUACUGAAGGCUCAUCAUGAUAUUGUACGAUUUCUGGUACAGUUAGAUGACUACAGAUUUGCAUCUGCUGGUGAUGAUGGAAUUGUAGUUGUGUGGAAUGCCCAGACAGGGGAAAAACUUUUAGAACUGAAUGGACACACUCAAAAGAUAACAGCUAUUAUUACAUUUCCUUCCUUGGAAUCUUGUGAAGAAAAAAAUCAACUCAUCUUGACAGCCUCUGCUGAUA
rnacentral:sRNA from 1 species